CCCCUUGUCAUACCAGACUGAAGAGAAGCUAGCAAAAGUCCACCAGAAUCAUUUCAGAAGUGAAACUAAAAAGGUUUUCACUGUCUAAAGACAGGAUAUUUUGAGCUUCAAUAAGAAAAAUAAUCACGUAAUUAUAAUGGAUUAAAAUCAAGUUUCAGUACAUGGGAUUGGAAAGGGAAGAUGAAAAGAAGAGUCACCUUGGAAGAGUGACAGGGAACUGGUCCAUACUCCAGAAAACUGGUAAAUAGAAAGAAAGAAUCAAACUUCUAUCCUGCCUUUCUCAUGCAGACAGUAUCCCUGGGAAGUCAACUGAAGGAUGAGGAGAAACAUCUCUUUAUAAAGUAUUGCAGCUAAUAAAUGAGAAAGAAAUGAUCCAAUUAGAAUAACAUUGUUUGCAAUGCCAAUAGAUCAGUUAUUUCCCAUGCUGAGCAACAGGUGCUGAUGACAUCACAAAGAGAGAGUGCACCUCAGGUGCUUUCUGGGGAUGUGUCACAACCAGCAAAAGGCUCUUGCCAAAGGGCUGAAGUAAUAGGGCUUCUGGACCAGGGACCAAGUUGAAGAAAGGUAGGAUGGCAGAACAUGUUGAACUGCAGCAGGGGUGUGCCAGCAUCAGAUCCAGGUCAAGGGGAAGCCCAGUGGAUCAAAGGCCCAAGUGCCUCAACAGAAACAGAGAAGAUUAUUUCGACCUAAGUGACUGAAGAAUGAAGCCAUUCUAAAGGCAGUGAGCCCAGCAACCCUUCCCCCAGAACUGGCCCCAAAUACCUGGUAUCUUCACUGUGCCACUGGUGGAAGUGUCGUCAGUAUAGGGAUGGCUGCUUUCCACCACUACUGGCUGUGAAGAGAGCCGGCCACUCUGCGAGUCUGUGGCUACAUCCUCCAAUUCAGUGACACAGAGCUCCAACAACAUAUCUGCUACCUAGGAAGAGAGCAGGAAAUGAUGAGGCUGACUGGCUUUAGUCCUGGGUCAACUGGAUGCUAACCCUGUUCAUCUUGCUCUGAAUAAUUCCAUAGAGGCAGGAUGGCAGAGGACUUGCAGUCUGAGAAAUUAAAUUCAAAGUUUGGUUUACUUACAAAAUCAAGAUAGCAAAAAACUUGCAAAGUGCUAUUUAACUUUCAGAGACAAUCUAUACAAAAAUAGCUGGAAGGCACCUCAAGUACAACACUCAGGAUAAGGUGCACUUUAUCACAUGUCAACUGAUAAAAACACCUGUGAUGAAAGUAUCAAGGGGAGGAAGAAAAUGUUGAUGAAAAUGAUCAAUAUCCUAGAAAGCACUGUAAGUCAAGGGGCUGGGCAGGAAUCAAGAACAAUUGAGCUACCCAGGUCUAGACAUGGCAGACAGAAUACCUCAAACAAGGAGGUCUAUGUGAACAAGAUUAAGGAAUUUCUCUUGACCAAGGAUAGUAAAUGUUGAGCUCACCACCAUGCUGUCUCUAUAAUUCAUAUUGUCUUUUAUUUUUUAAAUUUAGUGCCAAUUCACACCAUUUAAGUGGUUAAUAUCAGUGAUUACGAACUCCUGGACUGUCAUUUUUAAAAACAAAUUAGAAUGUGUUAUGAUAAGCAAAAUUUUCAACUCAAAAAAUAUAAUUCUUCUUUAUACACUGUCCAUUUUGUACUUUUCAGGAAUAGGAUUAUUCUUUUUUCCUCAUAAUCAGAGAACAGCUAGGCUUACUAAACAGUUAUAUUAGUAACAAACUAAUAUUAUUGUCAUAUAGGCAUGCUAUUUUAAAUUCAAAUGUCUUUUUUUUUUUUUGAGUCCUACAUAUUAGGUCAGGGCAUAACACAGAAGUAGCCGUCUUGCUAUUACAAUGACAGUUUGAAAAUACACGUAUUCUUAUGAAAUCUGAAUGAAUUAUUUGAACAGAUGUUGGCAUCAAAUGUCUAUUUCUAUGCAAAAUCCAUGAGGGAACUGAAUUUUAGAAUCUUCCUCUGCAAAGCCCAUCAGAACCUACCAAAGAGAGGCCACUAAGUUUAUCAGGAGGGGGUAACACACAUGGUAGAUAUGGCUCUGGUGUCAGGGACCUCAGAGUUCCAAUCUCAUCUCUCCUAAAAUACAGUUAGUAUCCUCAAACCAGUAACAACCUCUUGGAGCCUCAGUUUUCUCAUCUGUAUGUAAACAUAACACCUACUCUCUGUACUGACAGAAUGCACCAAAAUCACACAUGGUAGAGAUCUGUAUGGCAAAUGCUGGGUAUUAUUUUAAACCAAAGUUCUCAUGCACAUUCUUUCCUCUCUUAAAAGCAAUAAACUUGUGGAGGGAAAAAUCAAA